rnacentral:rRNA from 1 species
ACUCCUACGGGAGGCAGCAGUGGGGAAUAUUGGACAAUGGGGGAAACCCUGAUCCAGCAAUGCCGCGUGGGUGAAGACGGCCUGCGGGUUGUAAAGCCCUUUAGGCGGGGAGGAAAGGCAUUGUGCGAAUAGUGCGAUGUUUUGACGUUACCCGCAGAAUAAGCACCGGCUAACUCCGUGCCAGCAGCCGCGGUAAUACGGAGGGUGCGAGCGUUAAUCGGAAUUACUGGGCGUAAAGCGUGCGUAGGCGGUUUGGUCAGUCAGCCGUGAAAGCCCCGGGCUUAACCUGGGAACGGCGGUUGAGACGGCCAAACUAGAGUGGGCUAGAGGAUCGUGGAAUUCCGGGUGUAGCGGUGAAAUGCGUAGAGAUCCGGAGGAACACCGAUGGCGAAGGCAGCGGUCUGGGGGCCACACUGACGCUGAGGCACGAAAGCGUGGGGAGCAAACAGGAUUAGAUACCCUGGUAGUCCACGCGGUAAACGAUGAGCACUAGACGUCGGGCGGGUGACUGCUCGGUGUCGUAGCUAACGCGCUAAGUGCUCCG